AACAAUUGGGUCCCACAAGUAAAAUUACAUGGCAGAAUAGACAAGCACUGAAUUGGCUCCUGGCAGAAAAAGGAGGAGUGUGUGUAAUGUUUGGUUCUGACUGUUGUACUUAUAUUCCAAAUAAUACAGCCCCAGAUGGAUCAUUCACCAAAGCUAUGGAGAAACUGAAAAACCUGAGAGAAGAAGUGACCAGAAACGCUGGAGCAGACAUGCAAAAUUGGGAUUGGUUUAAUUCAUUUUUUGGGUCUUGGGGACAAUGGUUAACUAGAGUGGGCAUCAUAGUUGGCAUUGCUGUUGUUGUGUUUCUUUUGCUGUUUUGGAAUGUUAAAGGUUUUAAGCAGGUCAUUGUCCGUGUUACGAGGCAAUGCAACCAAACAAAGGGGACGAUAAAGAAA